rnacentral:siRNA from 1 species
AGGGCAAUCUGUGGCGGCCGGCA